UACGUAGGGGGCGAGCGUUGUCCGGAAUCAUUGGGCGUAAAGCGCGUGUAGGCGGCCCGGUAAGUCCGCUGUGAAAGUCCAGGGCUCAACCCUGGGAUGCCGGUGGAUACUGUCGGGCUUGAGUCCGGAAGAGGCGAGUGGAAUUCCUGGUGUAGCGGUGAAAUGCGCAGAUAUCAGGAGGAACACCAAUGGCGAAGGCAGCUCGCUGGGACGUAACUGACGCUGAGGAGCGAAAGCAUGGGGAGCGAACAGG
rnacentral:rRNA from 1 species